rnacentral:tRNA from 1 species
ACCUGGCUGGCUCAGUCAGUAGAGCAUGUGACUCUUAAUCUAAGAAUUGUGGGUUGAACCCUCAUGUUGGGUG